rnacentral:rRNA from 1 species
GACGAACGCUGGCGGCGUGCUUAACACAUGCAAGUCGAACGGAGAGGCCCUGCUUUUGUGGGGGGCUCGAGUGGCGAACGGGUGAGUAACACGUGAGUAACCUGCCCUUGACUUUGGGAUAACUUCAGGAAACUGGGGCUAAUACCGGAUAGGAGCUCCUGCUGCAUGGUGGGGGUUGGAAAGUUUCGGCGGUUGGGGAUGGACUCGCGGCUUAUCAGCUUGUUGGUGGGGUAGUGGCUUACCAAGGCUUUGACGGGUAGCCGGCCUGAGAGGGUGACCGGCCACAUUGGGACUGAGAUACGGCCCAGACUCCUACGGGAGGCAGCAGUGGGGAAUAUUGCACAAUGGGCGGAAGCCUGAUGCAGCAACGCCGCGUGCGGGAUGAAGGCCUUCGGGUUGGAAACCGAUUUCGCCUGUGACGAAGCGUGAGUGACGGUAAUGGGUAAAGAAGCACCGGCUAACUACGUG